GACGAACGCUGGCGGCGUGCUUAACACAUGCAAGUCGAGCGGUAAGGCCCUUUCGGGGGUACACGAGCGGCGAACGGGUGAGUAACACGUGGGUGACCUGCCCUCAGCUCUGGGAUAAGCCUGGGAAACCGGGUCUAAUACUGGAUAUGACUCCAUGACGCAUGUUGUGGGGUGGAAAGCCUUGUGCGGCUGAGGAUGGGCCCGCGGCCUAUCAGCUUGUUGGUGGGGUGANGGCCUACCAAGGCGACGACGGGUAGCCGGCCUGAGAGGGCGACCGC
rnacentral:rRNA from 1 species